rnacentral:rRNA from 1 species
AAUUACUGUUAAAUCCUCUUUAUAUUAAUUUUUAGAGUUAAUGUGUGCUUAGAAGUAAAUUGUAGCUCAUUGUUUCUAUAAAAUGCGCUGCACCAUGACCUGUUUUUAUUGAUUAGUAAUUCAAUUAAUAAAACUUUUUAGUGGUUAACUUCUACGGCGGUAUACAUACAUAUUUAUAGUAAGUUUGUCGUGUGGUGUCGUUUACACAACAAGCUCCUCUAAUUAGGUGAAUUGCCGCCAAAUUCUUUGGGUUUGAUGUUUAUAUUGUUUACUACCCUCCAUUGGUUUAAUCAGGAAUAAUAGGGUAUCUAAUCC